GGGGAUGUAAAGGUUUCGACGGGGAGAGGAAAGCGCGAGCAGCGGGUAGUGGUGAGGGACACACUAUAAUCUCCUUCAAAAAAAUUAACUGACAACAACACUCAGUUAGCCGCAGCCUGAAUUCAGGCUGCCGUUCUGCCCACGUUAGCGCGGCGUGGGGCCAGAAUGUCAUUUUAGCGCUGAACGUGAGCAGCCCUAAGCUUUGCGGGCAGCCAUGAACUCAUGAAGCUACCAAAGCGUCGGCCUGUUUGUCGGCCUGGCGCGGCGGGAAUUUUGUAGACAAACUGCACCCGGAGAUACUUUCGUAGACUUCUUUUCGGACACGGGUUCGACUCCCGUCAUCUCCACCA
rnacentral:tmRNA from 1 species